AAAACUUUCAACAACGGAUCUCUUGGCUCUGGCAUCGAUGAAGAACGCAGCGAAAUGCGAUAAGUAAUGUGAAUUGCAGAAUUCAGUGAAUCAUCGAAUCUUUGAACGCACAUUGCGCCUGCCAGCAUUCUGGCAGGCAUGCCUGUCCGAGCGUCAUUUCCACCCUCAUGCGCCCCGUUUGCGCGUGGUGUUGGGGCUCUGCUCUCCCUGCCCUGGCGCGGGAGAGGCCCUGAAAGCGAGUGGCGGGCCGCCUGGUUGGCUCCGAGCGCAGUAGAAACGCACUGUUUUUUUCAUCGCUCUGGACGUCGCCGGCGGUUCCCUGCCGUCAAAACGCACAAUGACGUGCAACUUUUUUCAAAGGUUGACCUCGGAUCAGGUAGGACUACCCGCUGAACUUAAGCAUAUCAAUAAGCGGAGGAAAAGAAACCAACAGGGAUUGCCCCAGUAACGGCGAGUGAAGCGGCAACAGCUCAAAUUUGAAAUCUGGCUCUCGGGCCCGAGUUGUAAUUUGGAGAGGAUGCUUUUGGCGCGGCGCCUUCCGAGUUCCUUGGAACAGGACGCCACAGAGGGUGAGAGCCCCGUACGGUCGGACGCCUAGCCUAUACAAAGCUCCUUCGACGAGUCGAGUAGUUUGGGAAUGCUGCUCAAAAUGGGAGGUAAAUUUCUUCUAAAGCUAAAUACCGGCCAGAGACCGAUAGCGCACAAGUAGAGUGAUCGAAAGAUGAAAAGCACUUUGAAAAGAGAGUUAAACAGUACGUGAAAUUGUUGAAAGGGAAGCGCCUGUGACCAGACUUGUGCCCCGCGAACCACCCGGCGUUCUCGCCGGUGCACUCCGCGGGGCGCAGGCCAGCAUCGGUUCUCCUAGGGGGAUAAAGGCCGCUGGAACGUAGCUCUUUCGGGAGUGUUAUAGCCUGCGGUGCCAUGCCUCUGGGGGGACCGAGGACCGCGCUUCGGCAAGGAUGCUGGCGUAAUGGUCACCAGCGACCCGUCUUGAAACACGGACCAAGGAGUCAAGCAUUGGGGCGAGUGUUUGGGUGCCAAACCCGCACGCGAAAUGAAAGUAAACGUAGGUGAGAGCUUCGGCGCAUCACCGACCGAUCCUGAUGUAUUCGGAUGGAUUUGAGUAAGAGCCUUACCGCUUGGACCCGAAAGAUGGUGAACUAUGCCUGUAUAGGGUGAAGCCAGAGGAAACUCUGGUGGAGGCUCGCAGCGGUUCUGACGUGCAAAUCGAUCGUCAAAUAUGGGCAUGGG
rnacentral:rRNA from 1 species